GAUGAAGAACGUAGCGAAAUGGGAUAAGUAGUGUGAAUUGCAGAAUUCAGUGAAUCAUCGAAUCUUUGAACGCACAUUGCGCCCUUUGGUAUUCCAAAGGGCAUGCCUGUUCGAGCGUCAUUUGUACCCUCAAGCUUUGCUUGGUGUUGGGCGUCUUGUCUCUAGCUUUGCUGGAGACUCGCCUUAAAGUAAUUGGCAGCCGGCCUACUGGUUUCGGAGCGCAGCACAAGUCGCACUCUCUAUCAGCAAAGGUCUAGCAUCCAUUAAGCCUUUUUUUCAACUUUUGACCUCGGAUCAGGUAGGGAUACCCGCUGAACUUAAGCAUAUCAAUAAGCGGAGGA
rnacentral:misc_RNA from 1 species